rnacentral:rRNA from 1 species
CCUACGGGAGGCAGCAGUGGGGAAUCUUGCACAAUGGGGGAAACCCUGAUGCAGCGAUGCCGCGUGAGUGAAGAAGGCCCUUGGGUUGUAAAACUCUUUCGUCGGGGAAGAAAAUGACUGUACCCGAAUAAGAAGGUCCGGCUAACUUCGUGCCAGCAGCCGCGGUAAUACGAAGGGACCUAGCGUAGUUCGGAAUUACUGGGCUUAAAGAGCUCGUAGGUGGUUAAAAAAGUUGGUGGUGAAAUCCCAAGGCUCAACCUUGGAACUGCCAUCAAAACUUUUUAGCUAGAGUAUGAUAGAGGUAAGUGGAAUUUCUAGUGUAGAGGUGAAAUUCGUAGAUAUUAGAAAGAACACCAAAUGCGAAGGCAACUUACUGGAUCACUACUGACACUGAGGAGCGAAAGCAUGGGUAGCGAAGAGGAUUAGAUACCCUCGUAGUCCAUGCCGUGAACGAUGUGUGCUAGACGUUGGAAAUAUAUUUUUCAGUGUCGCAGCGAAAGCAUUAAGCACACCGCCUGGGGAGUACGACCGCAAGGUUAAAACUCAAAUGAAUUGACGG